rnacentral:lncRNA from 1 species
GCGGUCGGCCUUCCCUCCUUCGCUCCUUUUUUAUAUUAGUGAUUUUAAAGGGGACUCUUCAGGGACUUGUGUACUUCUCCCCAGCCUACUGCCUGGAGGGCACCUGCAGGCCCCGGCCCAUGGGGGCAGCUCGUGGCCUCAGCUCACCCCUCCCCUCCAACCCCUCCAUCUCCUUCCCCUUGACCUUGAAGCUUGAACCCCUACUGGAGUACUGGGUAUCCGCCGCCCAGGAGGCCUGACCCCUACCUUUCUUGCACACUUCGGCCCGUUGAGGUGAGGCUCUGGCUGAAAUUCAAACCUCUACUUAGCACACACCCGGCCCCCCAGAGAGCUCCCCCGAGCACAGAGCCGCCUUCAGGUCCCUCUGUGGGAGUGGUUUGGGGGAAGGAAGAGGGGAUGGGGCGAAGCUGCAAAUGCAGAGCAGAGGCCGAGGUGGGGGAGGGUGGGAGUUGGCUGCUGUCAGCUGCUGUGGGCCCCAGCGUUGGGGUGGAGAUGGAGGUGGAGGCCCCUGUGUGCCCCAUGGGGAAGGCUGCCCGCACACUGCUAUCUUGAGCUUGCGUUUUGCCCUUGUCACCUCCUCACUGGGAGUCCAGGUCCUGUUGGGCUCAGAGUCUUCAGCAGUGAGGGCAGUGGCUCAGCUCUUCCUGCAGCUUGGGCUGGUGUGUGAGGGGCUGGAGGGCAGGAGGGUCUGCAGGGCCCUGCCAUCUUGCUCAAACCCUUACUUGCUCUCUGGAUUGGGUUUUAUUUGAUGUGGGGAUGGGAACACCACGUCUGGAUGACCUGGGACCCUAACCUCUCAUAAACUCUGAGUCACUGAGGUAGAGGUGGGAAGAGCAGGGCUUCUUCCUGACUGCCCUAUUUGGGCUUUCUUGCUUUGUUUCUUUCCUUCCUUUCUUUCUUUCUGAUGGAGUUUCUCUCUUGUUGCCCAGGCUGGAGUGCAGUAGCGUGAUCUCGGCUCACUGUAACCUCCACCUCCCGGGUUCAAGCGAGUCUCCUGCCUCAGCCUCCCAAGCAGCUGGGAUUACAGGUGCCCGCCACCAUGCCUGGCUAACUUUUGUAUUUUUAGUAGAGAGAGGGUUUCACCAUGUUGGCCAGGCUGGUCUAGAACUCCUGACCUCAGGUGAUCAGCCUGCCUUGGCCUCCCAAAGUGCCAGGAUUACAGGCAUGAGCCACUGCACCUGGCCUAUUUGGGCAUUUUAAAAGGGCUUUUUCCCACGUGUCACCUGUGCAGCCAAGUCCCUGCUUUCUCGGGAAGUGGGGGAAGGGUAAGCAGCUGUAAACACUGCAUCCCAUUAUUCUGAACUCUCAGCACUUAAGGCUCCAGCUGUGAUUUGGAGCCUAGAGACAGGGACUGUGUCCCAUGUGCCAAAGCCAGAAUCGGGGCUCCCGAACAUGCCUCGGUGUCCUCUGGAGGAAAGGGAAGGUGAUGGUGCUCCAUUCACUGCUGGGGUCCUGUCGGUGAGGGCAGUGGGCAGGGCGGCCAGACCUGCGGAUAUGGGUGGUAGGCUGUGAC